UUUCUUCUUCUCACCACACAUUUAUAACUACACAUUAGAUUUAUUUUAUAUCUCAAAGAAUUUAUUCUAUAUUCUUCUAUCUAAAUAGCUACAACAAGCAUACAAUUUCAUACCUUCCACAUCAAAUUUAUAUACUUAAGACUAAACUUUAUUUUGUUAUUUUAAUUUUUUUUCAUUUCUAAAAAAUUAGAUAAUUAUUUAUGAUUCUUAAAUGUAUCUUCUUAUAAUGUCACAUUAAUAUAUACAUUGAUUUAAUUAUUUAACUACAUGCUAUGUAACAUUAAUUUUUUAUAAUAGAUUCUAACCAAAACAAAGUUUAAAACAUCGACCAUAAAUCCUUACAAAUCCUAAAUAAUCCUAACAAACUCUAUUUCUAAAAACACCAAACCAAUCUUAAUUCUAACCCUUACAACUUCUAUUGAACAUUCAUAAAAACUGAAUACAUAGAAAUCAAUAAGCACAAUCUAAAUCACCUUACCACUUCACACAAUAAAUUACAAAAUUUCUUUUUCUCUCUUUUUGUUUGCUAAAUUCAACCUCUUACCUAGCACUCCACAUUGUGAAAGUGGAUACAAUAACCCAGCUUGAGUACCUUCACUCCAGCCGUUCCGAUCAGAUCUCUAGCUUGCUGAAACCAGAAUUUAGUCGGCUUCAGCAAUGCAAAAAUUCACGGCAACCCGACAACUGCACCUCCGAAGUUACGUGGUCCAACCUGCCCAAUCAGUGCAUCACUCGUCACUUGAAUAAUUGCCAAAAUUUCGUCUCGCCUCCGAGUUCGAUGAUCCUCAUCUUGUCCAGAAGCUAACAUCAAGCUGUUCCUAGAUCAAGAGAUUCCACCCCAAAACUUCACAAAUCCAAGAGACUGAUCGAGGAUAAUCCGAUGCACUCCAACCACGAACCUCCUCACCCCCGAUGGCGUAUUGUGCCUGUAUUGGGCACUCGUACAUACCCUAUCGAGGCUCUGGAGAACAACUACCGGCGUUCACAUCAAGGGCUCACAAGGCACUCAACUCACACAGCAAUUCACAUAUCCUCAACAUCAAUCGUCAACUUUGUUGUCAUCCAUUACACCAGGUUCAGAAAGCUCUAACGAACCUGCUCCUCCUAUAUAUUGACUUGUACUACCAGUGACAUCUGCCUUAUUUGAUGUAUCCCCACCUCUCUUCUUCCGCUUCAAGAUUCGAUUGUGUUCU
rnacentral:lncRNA from 1 species